rnacentral:piRNA from 1 species
AUCGUUGGUCCCGGCGCCUGAGU